rnacentral:rRNA from 1 species
GUGGGGAAUCUUGCACAAUGGAGGCAACUCUGAUGCAGCGACGCCGCGUGAGCGAUGAAGCCCUUCGGGGUGUAAAGCUCUUUCGACGGGAACGAUAAUGACGGUACCCGGAGAAGAAGCUGCGGCUAACUACGUGCCAGCAGCCGCGGUAAUACGUAGGCAGCAAGCGUUGUUCGGAAUUAUUGGGCGUAAAGAGUGCGUAGGCGGUGUUCCAAGUCUGUCGUGAAAUCUCCCGGCUUAACUGGGAGGGUGCGGCGGAAACUGGGAUGCUAGAGGGUGGGAGAGGUAAGCGGAAUUCCUGGUGUAGCGGUGAAAUGCGUAGAUAUCAGGAGGAACACCUGUGGUGUAGACAGCUUACUGGACCACUUCUGACGCUGAGGCACGAAAGCGUGGGUAGCAAACAGGAUUAGAAACCCUUGUAGUCC